rnacentral:misc_RNA from 1 species
GAGAAGAACGCAGCGAAAUGCGAUACUUGGUGUGAAUUGCAGAAUCCCGUGAACCAUCGAGUCUUUGAACGCAAGUUGCGCCCGAAGCCAUUAGGCCGAGGGCACGCCUGCCUGGGCGUCACACGUCGUUGCCCCCCCAUCUACUCCUUCGGGAUUGCGGGGGGCGGAUGAUGGCCUCCCGUGCGCCUCGUCGCGCGGUUGGCAUAAAUGCCAAGUCCUCGGCGACGCACGCCACGACAAUCGGUGGUUGCGAAACCUCGGUUGCCCGUCGUGUGCGGUCGUCGCGCAUCGAGGGCUCGAAAAAAUUGCCGGGCUCCGGCUCGGCUUUCAACGCGACCCCAGGUCAGGCGGGGUUACCCGCUGAAUUUAAGCAUAUCAAUAAGCGGAGGA